AAGGAAUAUUGGACAAUGGUCGCAAGACUGAUCCAGCCAUGCCGCGUGCAGGAAGACGGCCCUAUGGGUUGUAAACUGCUUUUGUACCAGAGAAAACCUACUCACGUGUGAGUAGCUGAUAGUAUGGUAAGAAUAAGCAUCGGCUAACUUCGUGCCAGCAGCCGCGGUAAGACGAAGGAUGCAAGCGUUAUCCGGAUUCAUUGGGUUUAAAGGGUGCGUAGGCGGACUUGUAAGUCAGUGGUGAAAUCUCUUCGCUUAACGAAGAAACUGCCAUUGAUACUGCAGGUCUAGAGUACAGAUGAUGUGGGCGGAAUAUGACAUGUAGUGGUGAAAUACUUAGAUAUGUCAUAGAACACCGAUUGCGAAGGCAGCUCACAAAACUGUAACUGACGCUGAGGCACGAAAGUGCGGGGAUCAAAC
rnacentral:rRNA from 1 species